rnacentral:rRNA from 1 species
GAAAGAUGAAAAGAAUUUUGAAAAGAAAGUCAAACAGUACGUGAAAUUGUUGAAAGGGAAACGAUUGAAGCCAGUCGUACCGAUGGGAAUUCAACUUCUCGAGUGCUAAUCGUGGGUGACGUUGAGCCUCACGGCCUUCGUUGCUUGUGUUGUUGGUGCUUUUGGGGUGUACUUUUCCGUAUGGUAGGUCAGCAUCGAUUUCGAUCGUCAUAAAAUGAUCGGGGGAAUGUAGCUUCGGUCUCGUAUCGGAGUGUUAUA